AUGCAGAUACAUAUGGAAUCGGUUCAUUUGAACAUGAAACACCCGUGUGAUAUCUGCGGCAAGGUGCUAACGGCCAAGAAACUGUUAGUCAAUGCGGCUGCACGAUGAAUCAGCUCUUAGGAGGUGUCCCUAUUGCCCCAAGCAAUCGAAUUGAAACAUCAAAUCAUUUUUCCCGAGAUACAUCAGUUAUCACUACGCGCUGAAAAAGGGUAACAAACUGUGGAAUCAGAAACCUUACAUAAUGUUCUAAGCAACUAUCGAUGUGUUAUUUAACUUUUGACUGGAUCUUUAGAAAAAAAACUCAAGAGUUAUUUUAAAAAAGAAAAAUCAAAUUUUAAGUUGCUACACUUCCGGAAACACUCAUAACACAGGAUAUUCACAGGAGGGCAUUUGGAUUACCGUCUUGGAUUUGAUUUGCACAACACCAUUACCUCAAGGCUUAAUUACAGUUCGGAUGAAAUCUCAUGUGAAUUCGGAGUGCAGCAGGACUGGAAGAAUUUUUACCGCAUAUGAUGCAAACCGUUGAGCCGGAGAAUUCAUCUAAUGAUUUGGACAAACUGGUCGAUCCACCUUGCUGCUGGAUUCGCCUGUGAUUCAUCAGGUGAUAUCGGAGAUCGUACUUUAUUUGAAAUCACUGUACCAAAUACAGAUAUCACAAAAAGGGAACUCUUAUGGGCCUU